UUCGGUAACUGAGCUAGCGGCGGACGGGUGAGUAAUGCUUAGGAAUCUGCCUAUUAGUGGGGGACAACAUUCCGAAAGGAAUGCUAAUACCGCAUACGCCCUACGGGGGAAAGCAGGGGAUCUUCGGACCUUGCGCUAAUAGAUGAGCCUAAGUCAGAUUAGCUAGUUGGUGGGGUAAAGGCCUACCAAGGCGACGAUCUGUAGCGGGUCUGAGAGGAUGAUCCGCCACACUGGGACUGAGACACGGCCCAGACUCCUACGGGAGGCAGCAGUGGGGAAUAUUGGACAAUGGGCGCAAGCCUGAUCCAGCCAUGCCGCGUGUGUGAAGAAGGCCUUUUGGUUGUAAAGCACUUUAAGCGAGGAGGAGGCUACUUGGAUUAAUACUCUAGGAUAGUGGACGUUACUCGCAGAAUAAGCACCGGCUAACUCUGUGCCAGCAGCCGCGGUAAUACAGAGGGUGCGAGCGUUAAUCGGAUUUACUGGGCGUAAAGCGUGCGUAGGCGGCUUCUUAAGUCGGAUGUGAAAUCCCUGAGCUUAACUUAGGAAUUGCAUUCGAUACUGGGAAGCUAGAGUAUGGGAGAGGAUGGUAGAAUUCCAGGUGUAGCGGUGAAAUGCGUAGGGAUCUGGAGGAAUACCGAUGGCGAAGGCAGCCAUCUGGCCUAAUACUGACGCUCAGCUACGAAAGCAUGGGGAGCAAA
rnacentral:rRNA from 1 species